rnacentral:rRNA from 1 species
AUGCUUACCACCCCGCAAGUCAGCCGGUUCACCGCCAUGCCCAGGCUCGAGCCCUGCGCACGCAGCCGCAGCGGCGUGAUCUCUGCCGUGUACGUGGACGGGAGCGACCCCCACCCGACCGAAAACGCCGCGACCGUGGCCAGCGUGAACGCCACGCAGGCAGCCGUGCUCGCUGGCGACGUCUCGCCGAUGCAGAGUGUGAGAGCCAGGCCGGUCAGCGAGGCGGCCACGCCGCCGGCGCUGGCCAGCAGGAGCGGCCGCCGGCCGAAGCGGUCGGAAAAGAGCGAGACCACGAGUAUGAAGCACGUCUUGACGACACCGAUGGCCACGGUGGCGCCCAAGAUGGCGCUAUUCGACGACAUGCCUGCCUUCUUGAACAUGAGCGGGCUGUACAGCAGGAUGGCGUCGACGCCCAACGCUUGCUGGAGGAAGUUGAGCCCGACCACGAAGACAAGGAUCCGCCGGACCAUCGCUGACGGUCGAAAGAUCAGCUCCCGCCACACGCCGCUAUCGGCUUCUCGCGGCGCCUCGACGACCCGCUUGAUCUCCUCAAACCGGAGCUCGGCCUCGGCGGCGGUAUCGGAGGUGCGCACGAGCACUGCGCGCGCGUCGUCCUCGCGCCCGCGCAUGGCGAGCCACCGCGGGGACUCCGGCAUGGCGAGCACCCCGGCGGCGAGGAGCACCGGUGGGAGCACGCCGAUGGCGUACAUGACGCGCCAACUGAGGUGCACCGGCAGGCCAGCCAAGGCGUAG